rnacentral:lncRNA from 1 species
UGAAAUCAUCUGGUUUUGCUUUAGAGAAAUAAUUUCCCUUUUCAAUUGCUCAACUUCGAUUUUUAAAUCAUGAAAGGUGGUAUCUCUAGCAGGGAUUUUAUUCAAAGCAAGACGUCUAUUUACUUCAGCUAAGGAAUAAGAUAAGGGAUGAUUUUCAAAAGAGUUAUCUUUUGAAGUACUAGGAUUAGCAGAAGUUUUUUGAGUAGCAAACUUGAGGAUUUUUUCACGCAGUUUGUCAUCAGUGAUUUCCUUUAAUAAUUCAAGGACAUUUUCAGCAGUAAGAGUUUGAAUAUUUAAAUCAAUAUCUUCGAAUUGCGCUUGCAAUUUAUACAUUGUUUCAUCACAAUUGCAAACAUUAUUAUCACAAUCAUUACAUUUAUCAUCCUGAUCGAGCUCACUUUCGGAAUUAGGUAAUUCAAAAUCAUUUUCAGAAGUAGAAUCAGAUUCGGAAGCAGAGGAGUAUAAUAAAUUGUAGACUUGGUCAUGAACUUCUUCAGAAAGUCCUAAGGACUUGAGUUUUUGUAAUUUGCAAUUUGGAGCAAUAUGACCAUACUGGUUACACUUAUAGCAUUUAAUUUUUGCUAAAUCUCGUUUGGAUCGGUUUUUGGUGAAUCUAGUGGACUUACGGAAGGAUUUUCU